CCCUUAGACGUUCUGGGCCGCACGCGCGCUACACUGACCAGUGCAACAAGCAUCCGUCCUUGGCCGACAGGCCCGGGCAAUCUUUGAACGCUGGUCGUGAUGGGGAUAGACUUUUGCAAUUUUUGGUCUUCAACGAGGAAUUCCUAGUAAACGCAAGUCAUCAACUUGCAUUGAUUACGUCCCUGCCCUUUGUACACACCGCCCGUCGCACCUACCGAUUGAAUGAUCCGGUGAGCUUUUUGGACUGUGGUCACGGCUUUGGUUCGCCAAACUGAGGCCGCGGGAAGAUGCGCAAACCUUAUCAUUUAGAGGAAGGAGAAGUCGUAACA
rnacentral:rRNA from 1 species